AUGAAGUUUUAUUUAUCAGACCACAAAUAAUUAGCAACUCCUCCCUGCGGUCCCUCUACAUUCCUCCACUUCCUGCCGCUGAGAGAAAAAUUCAUUGGGGGGGGGGGGUUGACUGUCUGACUGAACCGAACCGAACCUACCCGCACCUUCUGUAGUAACUCGUAAUGCGGAAGUGGGCGUGACUAUAAACUGUCUUCGAAAAAACGAUAGACACCACUGGUUCAGCUAGUCACUGCUUUUUUUAAAUAUGUUUUUGGUUAGACGUCUGAAAUAAGGUACGUAAGUAUCAUAAACAUGUGUUUGUCACAGACCUUGCAAUAUAAAAUCCAAUGGAAGAAUCCCAUUGCUUUAUGUCAAUAAAGCUAGUGCGAUGCUAGCUUCUGACGGGGAACUGAAGCCCCCCUCUACCCUCUCUUUAAAACUACCACACACCGUUUUUUGGCAUUUGAAAGGGUUAGUUCAGGAUUCCCUAAAGUGGUUGGUUAGUCAACGCUUGAUUGGCUUUCAGUUCUCCAUAGUUAGUCAUUAGCACCGUGAGAUCUGGUUAUAUGUGUAUCCACCUUUCUUCUUAUCCAACCAGUCAUUCAGGCAGAGUGAGCUCUAUCGGUUUACAGUUAUAAUCAUGCCAUCAGUCUUUCUUUGUCUCUACCACUUUAUUAUGUUUCUCCAUCGCUACCAUGGCCUGUAGAGUCAGGGUUCAAUAUCAAAUCAUAUUUUUCUUUAACAUGUACUUUUAUUUAAUUGUGUGCAAAUGUUAUUUAUGUAAACUCUUCAUUUUGUAUCUGUAACUAUGUGUCUUUUUACAAAGAUCUACCUUAAAACCAAUAUUUUAACUGCAUUUCUGCAUAUUUGUUUUUUUGCACAGGCAGCGACACGGACAGUGACACAGAGGGGCUCAGUGUAGUCUGGAGGCAGGACUACAACACAUCAGUUCUCAGGGUUCCCUCAUGUUCUCUCCCCGGCAUGGCCACCUUCGUCACCGCGAGCAAGCCCAACUUCAGGGUCACCAGCACGCGAGACCCCACACCCCUCAUCAGCUACCACACCGGGGAAGUGGACGGCUGGACGGCAGCGUACGGCCAGAACUCUGAGUCUGCAGCGACCGGCCUCACACACGAGAUGCGCGCCAGUGUCAUAAUGAAAACCUCGGACGUGAACAGCUCCUGACCUCUGACCCCGGAUGAGGGAGCAUCAUCACAGCUUCCAGGGCAUAGGAAUGACACAGAGUAGGAAAAGCAGCGCCGAGCCAAAACGGGGCGAGGUUCAAAACCUUUGAUUCUUUUGUAGCUUCUCUGGGUGAUGAAUUCUCAUUUUAAGAGGAGGAACUGCUGACUGGUGGUAAAAAGUACCCACAAAGUUACCAUUUGUAUAAUAAUUACUCACGGUGGUAAUUAAAUUAGAAUUAACAACACCAAAACUACACUUGUAAUUCAUCUCUCAUUUAUCCCUUUGAAUGCUCACUACAAAAACCUCCAUUCUCUGUAAAACCUUCUUGUUUUACACUUGCACAGAAAGUCUCACACUUUCGCGCUUCGUGAGCCCAACAUGUCCUUAGUCCAUCGUGUUUGUGCUAACACUUUAGCACACAUAUUCAAAUGGAAGAAAUUAGUAACUUUUAUCCAAUGAAA